rnacentral:rRNA from 1 species
CCUACGGGAGGCUGCAGUGAGGAAUAUUGGUCAAUGGACGAGAGUCUGAACCAGCCAAGUAGCGUGAAGGAUGACUGCCCUAUGGGUUGUAAACUUCGUUUAUAUGGGAAUAAAACGUUCCACGUGUGGGAUUUUGUAUGUACCAUAUGAAUAAGGAUCGGCUACCUCCGUGCCAGCAGCCGCGGUAAUACGGAGGAUCCGAGCGUUAUCCGGAUUUAUUGGGUUUAAAGGGAGCGUAGGGGGAUUGUUAAGUCAGUUGUGAAAGUUUGCGGCUCACCCGUAAAAUUGCAGUUGAAACUGGCAGUCUUGAGUACAGUAGAGGUGGGCGGAAUUCGUUUUGUAGCGGUGACAUGCUUAGAUAUCACGAAGACCUCCGAUUGCGAAGGCAGUUCACUGGACUGCAACUGACACUGAGGCUCGAAAGUGUGGGUAUCAAACAGGAUUAGAUACCCGAGUAGUC